rnacentral:misc_RNA from 1 species
GAAAUGCGAUAAGUAAUGUGCAUUGCAGAAUUCCGUGAAUCAUCGAAUCUUUGAACGCACAUUGCGCCCUCUGGCAUUCCGGGGGGCAUGCCUGUCCGAGCGUCAUUACGCACCCUCAAGCCCGGCUUGUGUGAUGGGCCCCGGCGUCUCGUUCGCGAGACGGGCCCGAAAGGCAGCGGCGGCGUCGACCCGAUGAGCCCGAGCGUAUGGGGACUUCUGUCACACGUUCGCGGUGCGGACCGGCGCCUGCUUUGACUUUUCUGAUUAUCCAGGUUGACCUCGGAUCAGGUAGGGAUACCCGCUGAACUUAAGC